rnacentral:rRNA from 1 species
GAUGAACGCUGGCGGCGUGCUUAACACAUGCAAGUCGAACGGUGAAGCAGGAGCUUGCGCUUGUGGAUCAGUGGCGAACGGGUGAGUAACACGUGAGCAACCUGCCCCUGACUCUGGGAUAAGCGCUGGAAACGGCGUCUAAUACUGGAUAUGUGAUGUGACCGCAUGGUCUGCAUCUGGAAAUCAUUUCGGUUGGGGAUGGGCUCGCGGCCUAUCAGCUUGUUGGUGAGGUAAUGGCUCAUCAAGGCGUCGACGGGUAGCCGGCCUGAGAGGGUGACCGGCCACACUGGGACUGAGACACGGCCCAGACUCCUACGGGAGGCAGCAGUGGGGAAUAUUGCACAAUGGGCGGAAGCCUGAUGCAGCAACGCCGCGUGAGGGAUGACGGCCUUCGGGUUGUAAACCUCUUUUAGCAGGGAAGAAGCGAAAGUGACGGUACCUGCAGAAAAAGCACCGGCUAACUACGUGCCAGCCGCCGCGGUAA